rfam:Sulfitobacter sp. H3 contig3, whole genome shotgun sequence.
GACGUGUCACAACGGCUUCCUGGCGUGACACAUGAUUUCAAUGGAGCA